rnacentral:pre_miRNA from 1 species
GAGGGCCUCAGCAGGGCUUGCUUUGAGGUACUUCCUUCCUGUCAGCCCGGUUCUUGGAGUCUG